rnacentral:lncRNA from 1 species
GUGCACCGUCUAUUUCGAAUUUAAGUAAACAUCUUUUUAUGGGGGUUCUUUGUAUAAGAUACGGACUAUGCAUUGCCACUUUCAACUUUAAUUCUUCUGAAUCAUGACGAAUUAUGCAAUGAUCUACCAGUUCUGCAAAAUCUCUUGACCGUAAAAAGAUGAAUAAAAACAGCGAAACUCUGUCAUUGAAACUCUGUCAUUGGUUAUCAUGAAAAAGAAAUAUAUCUUUCGUAUACUUGAAUGCAUUACAGCAUUUAGAAUCAUAUUCAAAACAGUGUGGUCCUGGCCAUUGAUUGACGAC